AGGACCAAAAGAAAAAGGCCGUUCAAGCUUGCUUGAAAACGGCCUUUUUAGUUUUGAUCCGCCAAAAAACACCGAGAAGUAGCGAUUUUUCUUUAGAAAAAGCGCGAGAUUCGAGGUGUUUUUAGGAUUGCGAGAGUGCGCAGCACGAAGCAAUCCGUAGU
rnacentral:sRNA from 1 species